GAUGAACGCUGGCGGCGUGCCUAAUACAUGCAAGUCGAGCGAACGGACGAGAAGCUUGCUUUUCUGAUGUUAGCGGCGGACGGGUGAGUAACACGUGGAUAACCUACCUAUAAGACUGGGAUAACUUCGGGAAACCGGAGCUAAUACCGGAUAAUAUUUUGAACCGCAUGGUUCAAAAGUGAAAGACGGUCUUGCUGUCACUUAUAGAUGGAUCCGCGCUGCAUUGGCUAGUUGGUAAGGUAGCGGCUUACCAAGGCAACGAUGCAUAGCCGACCUGAGAGGGUGAUCGGCCACACUGGAACUGAGACACGGUCCAGACUCCUACGGGAGGCAGCAGUAGGGAAUCUUCCGCAAUGGGCGAAAGCCUGACGGAGCAACGCCGCGUGAGUGAUGAAGGUCUUCGGAUCGUAAAACUCUGUUAUUAGGGAAGAACAUAUGUGUAAGUAACUGUGCACAUCUUGACGGUACCUAAUCAGAAAGCCACGGCUAACUACGUG
rnacentral:rRNA from 1 species